AUCAAGUCCACAUCGUGGUGGCAUAUGGGGCUGGAUUCUUUUUCCUUUUUAAUUUUCUAUUUUGAAUUCCUUGCCUUUUCCCCCUCGACGCUGCCCUUGCCCAGUUAUACAUAUGGGAAGAGUUUAAGUGAAGGGGGGAGGUUGGGUUGGGUUGAAAUGAGAGGGAGAGGGAGACUGAACGGGAAAGGGGGAGGGGGGGACUCCAGAUAUAGAUCGUGACCUUCCUACUCAGUACAGUAACUUACAUACAAUGCCAAGAGAGGGGGACGCCUGGGCUUUGGUGGUGUUUUCUGACUCAAACCCGUGCUCUCUAAAGGCACAGAUGGAAUCAUAGGAAACCAAUCACCAUGGCGACAGUGCUGGAAUCCCACCACAGAUCCACAGGCGUAUUGGCCUCGUACUGACCCGAGUAAGGACCAGAGUUCUUGUCUUGGCUCGCCGAUGCAUAUCCGGUUCCUGCAUCCUGUAAAAGGUAAUCUGACUGAGAGACUGGUAGAAGGGAGUGACAGGUGGUGCUGCAGGUGCACUGGGUUGAUCCCCUACACACAACGUGGGUAGCAGUCUGGCCCCCCCAGCUCCUCCUCUCCACUCCUGGUGGUGGUAUGCUCUCUGCCCCCUCCAUACCCACACAACACCAGGCUUCGUGACACCUUUGUUGAACCAUUAGGGAGCAGCCAAACGUAUAUGUUUCUGGACACGCCCAACACACGCCACACUCAUCAGUGACGGGAUACUUUUACACUCUUCAUUCGGGCCUUGAUCAUUCAUUGAAAUGAUCCUUCUCUGCAUUUUCAUCAGAAUAUGGAUUCAUUGUGUGAUGAAACCAAACCUGUUUAAAGAUAGUCACUUCAGAUGGAAACUUGCUUGUUCUCCAUGGGUGAAGCUGAAUUUUUUUGGAAAGAUUCUGUUGAUUUAAAGAAAAUAAAAACCCAGAAAAAUGUAGGGAACACACACAGAAAGAAGCUUUGGCUUAGUAGCAAGAUUUUGUGUGUUACCUGUACAUCAGUGUAAAGCAUGUAAAGACACAAUCUCAGCAAUUUUUCACAGACGAUACCUUGAUCACUCCCAGUUGGAUAAGAGGAACAGCUCCAAAACAUGCAGAUAGUCAGCUGUGUAAUGCCUCUUGCUUUCCCAUAGGUUUCCAAAGGCAGUAAAUGGGGUGGUUUGAUACUCAGAUAGAAGCACCCUUGGUUAAAAUGAGGCAAGGCCCCUUCCACGUCCACCCCCACCACCAAGAUGCAUGUGGCUGCAGUUCAAGUAUGUCGCUUUGUUCAUCCUUGGCCCCCCUCUUCCCCCUUGUUUUGAAAGCGAAGGAUCUGCAGAUGGGACAUCAGUGGAAAAUAAUUUUAAAAACCCCACAAAAAAUAGGGGGCUGGAUGAAUCAAUGUGGGGUGCUCCUACUGCGUCUCUGAAGGCAAUGACUGCGGGCAGGGAUGUGAGGUUCCUUUCUCAUUGACGUCAGAGAUGCUGGCUGUGGAGGGGUGUCAGUGUCUUGUUCAUGGACGAGUCAUCCGGCCGCUCUCGUUAAUGCAGAGCCCUAGCGUCAGGCGUCUCGGCCUCGUGGAACCCCUCCACCCCCACCCCCGUCCUCCCAAGUUUGUCAGGCUGUGGGGUUCUGCUUUUUUACUAAGGCACAAAAUCCAAAGUGUUAAGGAAGUCUGGUUCUGGAGGCUGCACUGCUUUGUGAACCACAUGCCAUUUGGGCUGCAGUGAGGUCAACUUCACCACCAACCACGUGUCUCGCCGGCACAAAUAUGUGUUCAGAUGCACGAACAAAUAUAUGUGCUCAUCUGUUUCACAUGUUGACAAUUGCAUGUGUACACACAAACACACACAUGCACACACACACA